rnacentral:rRNA from 1 species
UACGCAGGGUCCGAGCGUUGUCCGGAAUUACUGGGCGUAAAGAGCUCGUAGGUGGUUUGUCGCGUUGUUCGUGAAAACUCACAGCUCAACUGUGGGCGUGCGGGCGAUACGGGCAGACUUGAGUACUGCAGGGGAGACUGGAAUUCCUGGUGUAGCGGUGGAAUGCGCAGAUAUCAGGAGGAACACCGGUGGCGAAGGCGGGUCUCUGGGCAGUAACUGACGCUGAGGAGCGAAAGCGUGGGGAGCGAACAGG